UGUGGCUCUGCUCUCUGCAAGCACAGUAGAUAAAACAUCAACUAAUGCAGACAAAGAAACAUGGGAGGAAAAGGCAGAUGGCGUAUCUGAUACAAAAGAUAAGUUGCAUAGUUGCAUUCCAAGUGAAGAUAAUGGUUAUGUUUCUAGGUUAGAAGGUGGGACUGAACCGGUAGAAGGAUCAUUGCCUUGCCCGUCAAUGGAGAUAGACGGUGACAACAUGAAAAAUAUGAACGAAGAGUUGAACAGUACCGUGCAAGAAGAGCAAAAACCUCCUGCUACCAUUUGCUCCGAGUUUGCAAAAAGAAGGGUUGGGGAUGUGCUGCAUCCUACUGGUUCUGGUAAAGAUAUUGUCUCUGAAAAUGUUGUUGGGGAGGUGAAGGCUGAAAAGGCUGAUGAAACAGAUGACGCAAGUCAGCAUACCGAAAAAGGAAAUAAUGCGCAGGAAAAUAAUUUUGGUUUAGCUGUUACUGAUCACAAGGUUGAGACUAUGGAGGAGAGUCUAGAAGGUAAUCAACCUAAAGAACAACUUAGUGGUGCUCAAGCUCUCAACAAGGCAUCACCUGCAAUUGUGCAAGAACCAGAACAAGAAGCAAGGUGUAGAGGAUCAAAGUUGAAUGCCACUGAUGCCGAUGAAGCGGAGGAAAGUACAUCUGGUGCUGUAGAUGCUGCUUCAUUUUCUGCUGUAGGGGGGGGCAGAUAUUGAAGCGAAAGUGGAAUUUGAUCUAAAUGAAGGCUUCAAUACUGAUGAUGAGAGAUAUGGGGAACCGAAUAACUUGAGAACACCUGAAUGUUCUACUGCUAUUCAAUUGAUUAGCCCUUUUCCUUUACCUGUUUCUUCUGGUUCUAGUGGCUUACCUGCUUUAAUUACAGUGGCUUUCUCCCCAAAAAAACCCGUUGUUCCCCCCGGGGGGCUAUUGUAG
rnacentral:misc_RNA from 1 species